UUUGAAAUUUGAUAUUUGAAACUUUUGAAAUUUAAAAUUUGAAAUUUAAAAUUUAAAAUUAAAAUCAAAAUUAAAAUUGAAUUUAAAAUGUAAAUUUUGAUGUAAAUUUUAAUGUGAAUUUAAAAAUUUAAGAAGAUUGAUACAUCUUUGGAAGCCCAAAAUGGUGGAAAUUUUUUCUUUGGUUAAAAUGGAUUGUAAGUUUACUUCAUUUUUUGAAGUAUAGUAUCAACUACACUCCAAAAAUUACGUUAUUUUUUUUUCUUCGCAAACGCUUCAUAGGAUUAUUUUCUUACCGGCGUAGCAUGUGCUACGUUUUUAUAAAUAUCCAAACGAGGCGCCUAAUUGAUACACUUUAAACCACAGGUAUUAAAGGAGAGAGUGUGAAACCAUAGGGGUGGUAUUUGGAAUUUUUCCUUUUAUUUAUAUUUGUCUAAAUACGAUGGAAGAAUUAGAUAUUUUUUAGAUUUAUUUCUAGAUCUUUUUAUUAUGUUAGAUUAAUCAGAUAGAUUUUUAUUAAGCUGUGAUUUCGUACUUGUAUUUUUAUAGUUACUUGAUAACUUUUUAGAUCUUUAUAUUAUUUUAGAUGUAGUCAUAGCUCUUAUUUUAGUGUAUGAUUUAUAUUAUUACACUAUUCAUUUUUCUUUUAUUCUAUUGUAUUUGUAUUACUAUUUAUAGUAUCUAUUUCGCGUCUGUCUGCAUAAAUUAAAAAUUAUCCUAAGUACACAAAUUGAACUAAAAGAUACAAAUUAUGUAUAAUUAACUAUUGUUAGGGAUAACAGAGUCGAUAUUUUAUCUCUCUCUGGNNNNNNNNNNNNNNNNNNNNNNNNNUUGUUUUUUUAAAAUAAAAUUUUAAAAAAUUAAAAUUCAAAUUCAAAAUAUAAAAUUAAAAUUAAAAUUUAAAAUUAAAAUUAUAUAGAUUUUGUUUUAAAUUUGAAAUUUUAAAUUUGAGAUUUGAAAUUACAAAUUUGAAUUUAAAACUUUAAAUUUUUAAAAUUUUAAAGUAUACAAUUUAACUUUAAAAUUUGAAAUUUAAAAAAUCUAUAAUUAAAAUUUUAAAUUUUAAAUUUAAUAAUUUAUAAAUUUCAUAUUUAUAAAAUUAAUUUUAAAUUUAAGUUAAUUAAAUUUUGAACAAUUGAAAUUAAAAUAAAAAAUUAUAUUAAAAUUUGAAAUUUAAAUUUUAAAUUUGAACUUUUGAAAUUUUAAUUUGAAAUUUGAACUUUUGAAAUUACAAAUUUGAAAGUUGAAAUUUAACUUUUGUAAUUUGAAAUUUGAAAGUUGUAAUUUGAAAGUUGAAAUCUGAAGAGAAGUUGGAAUUUGAAAUGAAAUUUAAAUUUGAGAUUUGUGAAUUUGAAGAUUUAAAUUAGAGAUUUGAGAUUGAAUUUGAAAAUUUGAAUUUGAAAUUGUGAAAUUGAAAUUUGAGUUUUAAAUUUGACAGUUGAAAUUGAAAUAUUGGACUUUUAAAUUUGAAAUUUAAAAUUUGAAAUUUGAAAUUUGAAAGUUGAAAUUUGAAAGUUGAAAUUUGAAAUUUGAUAUUUGAACUUUUUAAAAUUUGAAAUUUGAAAUUUGAAAUUUAAAAUUUAAAAUCAAAAUUAAAAUUGAAUUUUAAAAUUUUAAAUUUUGAAUUUUAAAAUUUUAUGCUGAAAUUUAAAAUUUAGAAAUUGAUACAUCUUUGGGAGCCCAAAAUGGUGGAAAUUUUUUUCUUUGGUUAAAAUGGAUUGUAAGUUUACUCCAUUUUUUGGAGUAUAGUAUAACUAUACUCCAAAAAUUACGUUAUUUUUUUUUCUUCCAAACGCUUCAUAGGAUUAUUUUCUUACCGGCGUAGUAUAGUGCUACGUUUUUAUAAAUAUCCAAACGGGGCCUAAAUUGAUACACUUUAAACCACAGGGUAUUAAAGUGAGAAAGUGUGAAACCAUAUGGGUGGUAUUUGAAGUUUUUCCUUUUAUUUUAUUUGUCUAAAUACGAAUGGAAGAAUUAGAUAUUUUUUAUUAGAUUUAUUUCUAGAUCUUUUUAUUAUGUUAGAUAUAAUCAGAUAGUUUUUUAUUUAAGCUGUGAUUUCGUAUUUGUAUUUUUAUAGUUUACUUUGAUAACUUUUUAGAUCUUUAUAUUAUUUU
rnacentral:lncRNA from 1 species